rnacentral:lncRNA from 1 species
AAUAUUUGAUUUUUUUUGGUGAAAGUCCCAUAUUUUUUGGAUCAAUAAUGAAGUUAAUAUGAAUUAAUGAAAAUAAAGUAAUUAAAAUGAAAAUUCAAAAAUUCCAAAAUACGUGGACCAUUUGACCUCCCUCAUUAAUUGAGAUGGCAAAUCAAAUGGAUCAGAGUGCGCUUUCCACAUGUUCCUAGUCAAAUGUUCCACACACGUGGUAAUCACUUUGAAUGGCUGGGAUUAGAACGUGAGACUCAGAUCAAAGGGUUCUG